rnacentral:rRNA from 1 species
UGAUGGUAUGAUGAGAUUGCAUGAUAGCAUCAUUAAAGAUUUAUCGGUGUACGAUGGGGAUGCGUUCCAUUAGGUAGUAGGCGGGGUAACGGCCCACCUAGCCAACGAUGGAUAGGGGUUCUGAGAGGAAGGUCCCCCACAUUGGAACUGAGACACGGUCCAAACUCCUACGGGAGGCAGCAGUGAGGAAUAUUGGUCAAUGGACGAGAGUCUGAACCAGCCAAGUAGCGUGAAGGAUGAAGGUCCUACGGAUUGUAAACUUCUUUUAUAAGGGAAUAAACCCUCCCACGUGUGGGAGCUUGUAUGUACCUUAUGAAUAAGCAUCGGCUAACUCCGUGCCAGCAGCCGCGGUAAUACGGAGGAUGCGAGCGUUAUCCGGAUUUAUUGGGUUUAAAGGGAGCGCAGACGGGUCGUUAAGUCAGCUGUGAAAGUUUGGGGCUCAACCUUAAAAUUGCAGUUGAUACUGGCGUCCUUGAGUGCGGUUGAGGUGUGCGGAAUUCGUGGUGUAGCGGUGAAAUGCUUAGAUAUCACGAAGAACUCCGAUUGCGAAGGCAGCACACUAAUCCGUAACUGACGUUCAUGCUCGAAAGUGUGGGUAUCAAACAGGAUUAGAUACCCUGGUAG